rnacentral:rRNA from 1 species
AUUGAACGCUGGCGGCAGGCCUAACACAUGCAAGUCGAGCGAGGGGCGGACGGGUGAGUAAUGUAUGGAGACUGCCCGCUAGAGGGGGAUAACUACUGGAAACGGUGGCUAAUACCGAAUACUAUCGGAUAACCCAUAGGGGUUUCGCUUGUAGGUGAGGUAACGGUUCACCUAGGCGACGAUCCCUAGCUGGUCUGAGAGUGUGAUCAGCCACUCUGGAACUUAGACACGGCCCAGACUCCAACGGAGGCAGCAGUGGGGAGUAUUGCACAAUUGGCUCAAGCCUGAUGCAGCCAUGCCGCGUGUAUGAAGAAGGCCUUAGGGUUUUAAAGUACUUUCAGCUGGGAGUCGGUACCUGCAGAAGAAGCACCGGCUAACUCCGUGCCAGCAGCCGCGGUAAUUC